AGAGUUUGAUCCUGGCUCAGAACGAACGCUGGCGGCAUGCCUAACACAUGCAAGUCGAACGAACCCUUCGGGGUUAGUGGCGCACGGGUGCGUAACGCGUGGGAACCUGCCUUUAGGUUCGGAAUAACUCGAAGAAAUUUGAGCUAAUACCGGAUAAUGUCUUCGGACCAAAGAUUUAUCGCCUUUAGAUGGGCCCGCGUUAGAUUAGAUAGUUGGUGGGGUAACGGCCUACCAAGUCGACGAUCUAUAGCUGGUCUGAGAGGAUGAUCAGCCACACUGGGACUGAGACGCGGCCCAGACUCCUACGGGAGGCAGCAGUGGGGAAUAUUGGACAAUGGGCGAAAGCCUGAUCCAGCAAUGCCGCGUGAGUGAUGAAGGCCUUAGGGUUGUAAAGCUCUUUUACCCGGGAUGAUAAUGACAGUACCGGGAGAAUAAGCUCCGGCUAACUCCGUGCCAGCAGCCGCGGUAAUACGGAGGGAGCUAGCGUUGUUCGGAAUUACUGGGCGUAAAGCGCGCGUAGGCGGCUAUUUAAGUCAGGGGUGAAAUCCCGGGGCUCAACCCCGGAACUGCCCUUGAAACUGGAUGGCUAGAAUCCUGGAGAGGCGAGUGGAAUUCCGAGUGUAGAGGUGAAAUUCGUAGAUAUUCGGAAGAACACCAGUGGCGAA
rnacentral:rRNA from 1 species